rnacentral:rRNA from 1 species
AUUGAACGCUGGCGGCAGGCCUAACACAUGCGAGUCGAGCGGAUGAAGGGAGCUUGCUCCUGGAUUCAGCGGCGGACGGGUGAGUAAUGCCUAGGAAUCUGCCUGGUAGUGGGGGAUAACGUCCGGAAACGGGCGCUAAUACCGCAUACGUCCUGAGGUAGAACGUGGGGGAUCUUCGGACCUCACGCUAUCAGAUGAGCCUAGGUCGGAUUAGCUAGUUGGUGGGGUAAAGGCCUACCAAGGCGACGAUCCGUAACUGGUCUGAGAGGAUGAUCAGUCACACUGGAACUGAGACACGGUCCAGACUCCUACGGGAGGCAGCAGUGGGGAAUAUUGGACAAUGGGCGAAAGCCUGAUCCAGCCAUGCCGCGUGAGUGAAGAAGGUCUUCGGAUUGUAAAGCACUUUAAGUUGGGAGGAAGGGAAGUAAGUUAAUACCUUGCUGUUUUGACGGUACCAACAGAAUAAGCACCGGCUAACUUCGUG